AUCUGCAGAACACACUGUGCCCAAAACUGUUAAAAACACAUUGAAAACAGAUUGAUGGUAAAUGUACUGCAUUUCUGCAGGGACCAGAUUGAAAUAAGUAGAAAAUCUUAGAACACAACACAAACAGCUGAUAAAAAUUUCAGUUGAAAGCCUGCCCAGGUGUCCUGGGGACAGCUUCAGAUGGCAGUAGUUUCAAAACAAGGAUCAAGGGACACAGGUUGGUGGGGAAAGAAGAGUGGCAAGGAGAAGGAUUUGUGGAAGACAAAGGAGAAGAAAACCAAGAGCGGUGGUCUCUGAUGAGAUAAGGGCCACAAUUAUUGGCCAUGUUGUUGAAAGAAAUAGUACGGAUUUCCUGGCACACAACAGGAUACAAAGGUUGCCUCCCAGGCAACAAUGCAAUAAAACUGCGAGAAAUUCAGGACGGAGUGCUGGCAGAACAAUCUCACUUUUGGAACUGUGAAUUCGGUCAGACAAUUGCCAGAGUCCUGGAGAAACAUAAAUUAAGAACGAAACAGUUGUACACUGUACCAUUUAAGAGAAACUGAAUGUGUGAAAGAACUCCGUUAUCAAUAUGUCCAGAAAGUAAUGGAGGUGGAAACACUGGAAACACCACAUUCAUUUGUAUUUAUCGAUGAAGCUGGAUUUAACCUUUAAGUAACUGAUUAGCCCUCAAUUAUUUGUUCAAAUUACAGUAUGUACUUUUAGUUUCUACUUUUUUUUUUCUCAUUACUGUAAUUCUGUAAAUUACUACAGACUAUUGAAGCAAACUGCUAAUUUUCAUUUACCUUAAGGAAUUGUUAUGUUCAAAAAAUUUAAAUAAAUCAUGUGAAAGAA